UUUUUACCUCAAUAGUCUGAUGUCAUGGAGACCCAUGCAUAUUAGCCUGAUCUAGGUCAUCUUGGUUCACUAUGAAUCAAGGUACAACCCCAAAACACAACUCUUACCUAAGACACUCUACCAGUGAAAACAUCCACAGAAAUAAACUGACAUUUUUAAGGGAAUCAGACACUCAGGGUUGGCUAUCCAGUUGCCAUCCUCUCUCCCCAUUGUUCAGCUUUCCUACAGGGGGCUUUCAUUGCUGUCAUUUGACAUCAAACUCAUUAGAACUCUUCUCAGCAAUAGCAGCAGCCUCAUCUAUCUGCAAUCUGACAUUGGUGGUGUUUUAAUUAAAUCAGUGGAGCUCCAUGUGCAAGAGCAGAAUUGAGCAGAACACAAUUUGAAUCAGCCAGGAUUCUCCGGAGAAAAAGAAUAUAGGGUACGGGCAGAUAUAGGAAAGGAGGCUAACUAUAAGUAUAAACCCAUGUGAUGAUGGAGGGCCAGGGGUCUCAGUACAGGCUAACUUCAGACUGACAACCUGAAUGGUGUUUUCAGUGGUACAAGCCCCCAAACCAAAGCUCAAGAAAGACAGAGGAGGUUGCACUGAUGUAAUAAGAAACAAGAACCACAAUGUCCAAGGACAGAUGACCGUGGAUAUAUCAGCUCCAGGAAAGAGGAUGAAUUUGAGCCUCCAACAUCUGUGGAUUCUAACUUGGGACCCCAAAAGACUGCACGAUGCUCUCCCACACUGAUUAAGGCAAAUCUUUAAUUAGUCAACUUAUUUGGUUGUUAAUUUCUUGCAAAAAGUCUUUGGCACCUACCAAAAAAGAAUGUCUUACCAGUUAUCUGAGCAUCCCUUUACCCAGCCAAAGCAACAUAAAAAUGUAAUUCUCACUCCAUUAAUUUCAAGGACAACUUCAUUGAUGGAAUGUUAUAAGCACUUGUGCACCACCCAGAAAUGAAUGUUGAUACCAUCCACUU